rnacentral:lncRNA from 1 species
CCGCCUCUGCUUGCGGAGCUGAGCGCCUCCGGCGGUGGUGUUGGGAAGCGAGCGGGAGGAAGCGGCAGGGCGGCAGCAGAUGGCAAGCCUGUGUGGGGGUCGUGGCUUCCCAGAUUCGAGAUUCUAGAAAGUUGAUCCCCAAACAUUAUGAACAUCCGCCUACGCGAGCCUCUGGCAAAAUUAAAUGUCCAGGGGCUGCAGGAACUAAUGAGCUUCACCAUAGAGUUUGUCCUUGAAGCAAAAGGUAUUUGCACAAGCAAGUUCUGAUGGAAGCAUACAGAAUGCAUGAGACCCCGAUCACUGGGAUCCCCCUUCUCCGAGGGCCAGAGACAACCAGCAGCACAGCGGGGCGGGUUCCUGGGAAGAGAGCAAUCAUGUCACCCACCGCGCAAACGAGCAAGCGGAGGAAAGGCAGGGCCGUGCAAGCGCUGCUCCGACCAGUAGGCCGGAAGAAACAACUAAAUAUCGGUGUGAAAACUCGAAUGAAGAGGCCCACGACGCUGAAGACAAGGACGAAAAAGAGAAGUUUAACAAAAAACAAGAAGGACCCGAAAACGCUCUGGACCCCACAGACAGCACACCGAGAAAAUCCAGUUGGGAGGAAUAGAAAGAAGAUGGAGAAAGAAGAAAGAACCUGCUCUUCACCCUUUAGGUUUUUCGUUUUUUAGAAGCCCAAGGGAAUUUUAUCAACACUGAUUUCAUUCCAACUUCAUCACCCCAAAAGUGACAUCCACUGACAUCUGACUUUUCCCUUACAUUUUGCAGAUAUAUUUGACAGCAUUUCUUCUAGUUAAAAAAUUUGUUUUAAAUUAAUAAACUGAAAUGAAGGCAGAUUUUAUUUACA